AGGCCCCUUCGGGGGUACUCGAGCGGCGAACGGGUGAGUAACACGUGGGUAAUCUGCCCAUGACACAGGAACAACCAGUGGAAACGCUGGCUAAUGCCUGAUGACGUGCAGCCUCUUCGGAGAUCUGUACCAAAGGUAGCUUCGGCCUCCGGUCAUGGAUGAGCCCGCGGCCCAUUAGCUUGUUGGCGGGGUAACGGCCCACCAAGGCGACGAUGGGUAGCUGGUCUGAGAGGACGAUCAGCCACACUGGGACUGAGACACGGCCCAGACUCCUACGGGAGGCAGCAGUGGGGAAUCUUGCGCAAUGGGCGAAAGCCUGACGCAGCAACGCCGCGUGCGGGAAGAAGGCCUUCGGG
rnacentral:rRNA from 1 species